GUGCUCCGAAGUAAUAGCUUCGUAAGGUCACUUGGUGGACUUGCAAAAGUGAAGGGGAGGUGUUUCUGGUCUCGCGCAUUCCCUGGGAAAGUGCCUGCUUCUCUGCAGUCUCAUGAAUUUAUGAACGAUGCAGCAUUUUUGUAAAUAAGCCAGUACACAGUAUUGAGCGUUCUAGGUUUGGAGGAAAAAUUGAUUGCGCUUUUGUUUUGGGUUUUUUUAGUUUAAAUCAGGGUCUGCAUAGAUAUAAGGAGUUGGACUAUUAGUCUAUAGCUAAGUACACAGCCUACCUGACAAGCAGCUCUAAUUGGUAGUUAAUUAGCAUAUGCACCUGUGGUGACACUGCCAUGAGCACACAAUAUUAUUUUACCGGCAAAGCAACAUGCCGGAACACUUUUUUUUUUGUCUCAUCUUAAUAAGAUAAGGUAUCCCUGUUUGGGGUAGAUCUUUUCUGAAUGCAGUAACUGAAUUUCUUAGUUCUAUGCACCUGUUUUUUAAACUAACCUGUAUUAUUCAUUGGACCGUCUGCCAUGAGGCCUGGCUCCUCUCCCCGGUAGAAUGAAUCACUGGAAAGGAGGGCGUUUCACGACGAUGACCUCACAGUACCCCUGCGUUGCCCUGGAAACCUGUGCCACACGGUGACCCGCUCCCACUCAAUCUCGUGAACCCUCUGCCGGUUCGAGGAUAAAGACGGAAGGAUGUGUGAGGGACAAAGGGGAAUGAAAAGGGAGGCUCGAUCUGUGAAGGGAUUGGAACGCCUGCGCGUCAAAUUCACCACCAGGAAAAGUGUCUCGUUAAUCGACACCUUUUUAUUAACAUCGGUACGUUUAAGGACAAGGCACUGGAUGUUAUUUCACUGCAGUUCGCCAUUUAGAACAUAGCCACAAAAAUACGACUGACUGUCUACGGCUGGUACUGUUAGGAUUUAAAAUGGUAGGAGGGGAAAACUAAAAAAGACUUGUGAUUUAGAGUUGUUAUUUCAUUUGCUAGCAUCUUACUGAUUGCAAACUGUGCCAAAGAUAGAUGAUAGACAUCCGGGAUAACAUUUUUUAUGUUCUUUUACUUUUUUUUAAGAUUGUCAAGUUCUUAUUUUGUAAUACGACAACAACAAAAAAAUAUUAUCAUUUUUUUUUCCCCAGUUUCUACCUUGGCUGGGUCCACGUAUGGCUACCAGUCUAAUUAUAUAAGUGAAUCAGUGAUAAUUAAGCAUCAGUAAAAUAAAGACUCAUUGGCCAGAACAGCAGCUCAUUGGCGAUAACAGCAGCUCAUUGGCCAGAUAAGCGGCUCAUUGGGCUGGCAGCCAUUUUCCUAUUUGGUUCAUAUGAUAAACAGAAGAAGCGGAUGUUCAUUGUUAGUGCCACACAAUUGAAUCCCAUUGAACUUUGAGAUAAGUAAUAUUGCUCUAGGCUAUUGAAAAGGCCUUGAAAUUAUAGUUAAGUGUUUCCGCAUUGUGACUGUUAUUUCUGUGUAUCACUGCAUCCAUGUCAGUGUUCUUUCAUAGCCAGUCAUUGAAAAUUACAGGUAGACAUCCCAGAAUGCUUUGCUACAAAGUAAAAAAAAAAAAAAAAAAAGAAUGAAUAAAACACAGCAUAUGCAAA